rnacentral:rRNA from 1 species
UACGGGGGGAGCAAGCGUUGUUCGGAUUUACUGGGCGUAAAGGGCGCGUAGGCGGUCAGCACAAGUCAGUUGUGAAAUCUCCGGGCUUAACCCUGGAAAGGCCGUGGAAACUGAAGAGCUAGAGUGCAGUAGGGGUAGAGGGAAUUCCCGGUGUAGCGGUGAAAUGCGUAGAGCUCGGGAAGAACAUCGGUGGCGAAAGCGCUCUGCUGGACUGCAACUGACACUCAGGGACGAAAGCUAGGGGAGCGAAUGGG